rnacentral:lncRNA from 1 species
CCGAUGGUGAAGAUAGCUGAUCAUAUGAUAUUUUCUUAUAUAUUCAAAGUUUCAAACAAGAACAUAAGCUAAAAUAAUUCAAAAGAAGUAAUGUAUAAUUAAAUGGGAAUAGCUCAUGCAGAAACAUUUAUAUUCCAAAUCAUUAAACUGGAAUUAAUGAAUAUAUCGAGCUGUAAAUUGCAUGAUACACUAGAACGGAUCACAAUUGCAUAUCAUGAAACCAAAGAGAACAAGUAGCAAAAGGAAGAAGCAAUAAUAUUGCUCCAUGAAGAAGCUAGAAUG